rnacentral:lncRNA from 10 species
GGUAAGGAUGGUCAAAUUUUACUAAUGAAGCGAUUAUAAAAUCUUCAAGUCUUUGUAUCCACUUGCUUUUUGAGGGCUGGAGUGGGAAGAAAGGUAUAUAAUUCAUUCAUUCUUCGGACAUGUGACAAACGUUCACGGAGCGCGGCAACGAGCGCCGGUGUCGCGAUGCGCACUGGGGCUGCACAUGGGAGCCAGGAUGGACUGGACUGGUCCCUGCCCUGCCCGCUGACGAUUGGCAGGCCACUGCCUUUGAUGAGCUGGGCGCUAUAACUGCCAUUAAGCCAUUUGUACAAUUAAUCACAACAGUGAUAAGAGCGACAAAGGAGCUAUUCGGGUGGCUG